GUUUAUGGCUCAUUACGGCUCUCAACGCGCUCGCCUAAUGCCUGCCAAAUGUACUGAGCGCAAAACAGCGUUAUUGUUUCUUAAUCUGUUUGCCUGACGACAUCGCCACCAUCAUCACCAUCACCAUCAUCACCGGAAUAGAAGUCGAUGAGAUAAGAGGAUUUGUUUGGGGAGGAACAGGAAAGCAGCUUUUUGAAUUAAUAAACUAUUACUAGUAUUCAUAAAGCCAGCUUAAAGUAGUUCAAAAUAAUAGGAAAGAAAUUGACUUGAAUUCAUAAAGGAAUAAUAAAUAUGGUUUCAUUCUCUAAAUAGAAACAUUCUGCGCAAUUUAUUACUAAUUGCCAAUAUUAAUUCCGCAAACAAUUGUCAUCAUGAUAGAAAUCGCAUCAAACACAAUAUAAUUCGCAAUCUCAUUCGGUACACCCGACGAUGUCUACAAAUCAUCAAUCACCUGAAUGGUAGACCAAACUCGAGAGCCGAAAUUCCCAAUUAAAAUGCAAUAAGCGUAGUAAGAAAUAUGUAUUCUCCAGUCUCAUACUGGAAUCACGUUCAAGGCCAGUCUAUAUCUAGGCGAUUCCAUCACCAGAGAUCGGCGGAGAAUAAGAGGUAAUUAGAAUGCGAGGGAAAUUUUUGUUUUGGCUUGACAAAAACUAUCGCAGUAAGAAUAGAAAAUAAACCUAUGCCCAGCAGAAUGAUGUGAGCAAAACAGAAAUGGCCAUAAAUCGGAUCAGAGUCCAUAAGUGCGACAUCAUAAAUAAGUCAUGAGUGCGAAUUUUGGCCAACUAUAGGACUAUAUAAGAGUGCUGGCAGGUGGGGAACAGCAUCAAAUCACAAACUGCAAUCGCUACACAAGCACCUCACGUCCUCAAGGAAAAUCAAAGCAAACAACAUGUUCAAGCUGCUGGUUGUCGUUUUCGCUGCCCUCUUCGCCGCUGCUCUGGCUGUGCCCGCUCCAGUUGCCCGUGCCAAUCCCGCUCCAAUCCCGAUUGCCAGCCCCGAGCCCGCCCCCCAGUUCUACUACGGAGCUAGCCCAUACGCCUACUCCGGAGGAUACUACGCUUCGCCCUACUCCUACUACGGCUAAGUGCCCUGGACCAUGCAUUGCAAUGCAAACCGACAAACGACUCGUGAUUAUGCAUCUGAAUACGGAUUACGGAUAUGCGCGUGCUGGCAAAUCAAAUUAGUCAUAAGUGCUUGAAAAAUGCAAAAAAAAAAAAUUACAAAAGUUGAGCAAAUAAAAUGUUGAAUAGCAAAUUAUCAUGCAUUUACGAGGCCAUCGCUUCAAA